rnacentral:misc_RNA from 1 species
AGUGAGAGAGAGAAGACAGAGGGUUGCAAAAGGUUUCUACUUCUUUUGACUGCUUGGUUUUUGAACUUGCACAGAUGUGCUAAAGAAAUUCUAGAAACACUUGUCACUUGGGUUUGGUUGAAAGUGGAAUAAUAUUGCAUGGUUUUGAGUGGGAUUCUUGGCGUUUUCUUGGAUCCUUUUUCUUUCACUUCAACACUGAUCUCACUCUCUUUUCUUUCACCCACCAACCAAAACAAUAAGUACGUCCCUAGCUUCUAUAUAAUUACAAAAUCAUUGCCAUCAUCGAUGCUUACCGUCUCUCUCACACACAUGCAGAUUUAUGUAUGGAGCAAGGUAAGUGCAGGUUACAGUCUUCUUGGAUUGGUAAAUGUUACUGAACAACUACGAACCUGCUAGCUUUCAGAUAAAUAUCACCUAUAAGAGUGAGACAAGAAGGAGCUUUCUGGGAAUUCUACGUAUAGAGGAUAUGGAAAAUAUGGGGAAAUGUGGGAAGGAUAUCUAUCCAGCAGACCAACUACACUUUUCAGGCCAGUUCCACUCAACUAGACCUGCUGAAUUUCCAAUGGAGGAUUUGAAGUCCAAUGAAAUCAUAUAAAUAUAAUAAAAGACUGAGAGAAAGAGAGACUUACAGCAAUACGUACACUCGAAGGUAAAACCUUUGGAUCCAGAUUCAGCAUCUCUCUACUAGUUUUGGAGAUGGCAAUAAGCUCACAUUAUCCUGAUCCAACAU